CACGUAGGGGGCGAGCGUUGUCCGGAUUUAUUGGGCGUAAAGAGCUCGUAGGCGGUUCGAUAAGUCGGGUGUGAAAACUCUGGGCUCAACUCAGAGACGCCACCCGAUACUGUUGUGACUUGAGUCCGGUAGGGGAGUGUGGAAUUCCCGGUGUAGCGGUGAAAUGCGCAGAUAUCGGGAGGAACACCAGUGGCGAAGGCGGUACUCUGGGCCGGAACUGACGCUGAGGAGCGAAAGCUAGGGGAGCGAACGGG
rnacentral:rRNA from 1 species